UACGUAGGGUGCGAGCGUUGUCCGGAUUUAUUGGGCGUAAAGGGCUCGUAGGCGGCCUGUCGCGUCGGGAGUGAAAGCCCACUGCUUAACGGUGGGUCUGCUUCCGGUACGGGCGGGCUGGAGUGUGGCAGGGGAGACUGGAAUUCCUGGUGUAGCGGUGAAAUGCGUAGAGAUCCGGAGGAACACCAGUGGCGAAGGCGAUCUGCUAGGCCUGACCUGACACCCAGACGCGACAGCAUGGGGAGCGAACAGG
rnacentral:rRNA from 1 species